rnacentral:rRNA from 1 species
UACGGGGGGGGCAAGCGUUGUUCGGAAUUACUGGGCGUAAAGGGCUCGUAGGCGGCCAACUAAGUCAUACGUGAAAUCCCUCGGCUUAACCGGGGAACUGCGUCUGAUACUGGAUGGCUUGAGUUCGGGAGAGGGAUGCGGAAUUCCGGGUGUAGCGGUGAAAUGCGUAGAUAUCUGGAGGAACACCGGUGGCGAAGGCGGCAUCCUGGACCGAUACUGACGCUGGGGUGCGAAAGCGUGGGGAGCAAACAGG